CCUACGGGAGGCAGCAGUAGGGAAUCUUCCACAAUGGGCGAAAGCCUGAUGGAGCAACGCCGCGUGGGUGAAGAAGGUCUUCGGAUCGUAAAACCCUGUUGUUAGAGAAGAAAGUGCGUGAGAGUAACUGUUCACGUUUCGACGGUAUCUAACCAGAAAGCCACGGCGAACUACGUGCCAGCAGCCGCGGUAAUACGUAGGUGGCAAGCGUUAUCCGGAUUUAUGGGGCGUAAAGGGAACGCAGGCGGUCUUUUAAGUCUGAUGUGAAAGCCUUCGGCUUAACCGGAGUAGUGCAUUGGAGACUGGGAGACUUGAGUGCAGAAGAGGAGAGGGGAACUCCAUGUGUAGCGGUGAAAUGCGUAGAUAGAUGGAAGAACACCAGUGGCGAAAGCGGCUCUCUGGUCUGUAACUGACGCUGAGGUUCGAAAGCGUGGGUAGCAAACAGGAUUAGAUACCCCGGUAGUC
rnacentral:rRNA from 1 species